UGCCAUCGUACAUAACGGAGUAGGCUAUAUGUUCAGCUUAAAGAAGCAGUUUGAGCAAAGUGCUCAUACAUAGCGGCUGAAUAUGGCUAAGUUCGCUUUAGGCUCUUUGUUGAUAUUAAUCUCGUGCACUUUCGCUUCCUUCACCGAAGGAGCUCAAAGUGUUUCAAGUGAUUUUCAAGGUAGUAAUGGUCUUGAAAUCCCUGGAAAAGAUUGGUGGCCGCGACCAAAACAGCCCUGCCGACGCAAACAUGAAGUCUACAAGCAGUGCGUCGGCACAGGCUGCGAAGAGGCAACAUGUUGGAAGCCUACGAUCGGUCCGAUUUGCCACUACGACUGCAAACAAGGCUGCUACUGUGAAACAGGUUUCUACAGGGACUAUCGAGGAAAGUGUGUUUCAUGGAAUAAGUGCCUCAAGCAGAUGUACCCUUGGUACACGGGUGGGCGGUACUCAUGGUUACCGUACACGGAGCCUGCCUACACUGGGGUGGUACCUGUGGCGUUCUAGGAUGCAGUCGUAACAGAUGGUAACAUUGGGCAUGGUUAGAAAUGUCUUUUUAAUGUUUGAAAAAAAAAGAAUAAACAUGAUUGUUAUAUUCUGCACUUGCAA